rnacentral:rRNA from 1 species
UACGAAGGGGGCUAGCGUUGCUCGGAAUCACUGGGCGUAAAGGGUGCGUAGGCGGAUCUUUAAGUCAGGGGUGAAAUCCUGGAGCUCAACUCCAGAACUGCCUUUGAUACUGAGGAUCUCGAGUUCGGGAGAGGUGAGUGGAACUGCGAGUGUAGAGGUGAAAUUCGUAGAUAUUCGCAAGAACACCAGUGGCGAAGGCGACUUACUGGACACAUAUUGACGCUGAGGUGCGAAAGCGUGGGGAGCAAACAGG